CACAGGAAGACCCCAGGGGCUGGACAGCUUCCCCCUCCUUCCAGCUUCUCUGCUCUAGACAAAAGGAGAGGCACCCUGCCUUGACACCUGUCAACACAUUAGGUGUCAAAUAAGCUGGCUUUCAACCUGGACCUGCAGGUGGUUUGUUGGUUUGUGCUUCACUCUGAGCCCCAGAAGAAUCUGAAGAGGCGAGGGAGGAUUGAAGGAUUGAAGUGGCCCUCCAGCUCAGUACAGAUCCCAGCUCAUCUCUCUCCCACACGGAGCCCAAGUCCCAGCCCCGGUCCAUCUGCACCAGCAGGCACCUCAGCUGGGAGUGCUGCGAGCCCCAGCCUCCUUCUGUUCAGACGGUGGUUGGGAGAUGUGAGCCAAUCCAGCCAUCUUGUACUGCGGAUCCAGGGCUGAGUGAACGCCUGCCAUCUGUAGUGGCGGCCAGCGAUGAGCCUUUAGCCAGCCCACACUGCGUCAGCAGCAGCCCUGUGCUCCAUCUUGAGGGAAAAGCAGAAGAGAGUGAUGUUUACCUAUUCACACCUCUGAUGAGAGCUGGAGAAUUGAAUUUGUGCUGAGAGUGGAAUAAUUGAUUUGGACGACUGCCAUGAUGGAAACAUCUGGGUUCACCAACUAACCUUGUCAUGAAAUAAGUGAAGACACUGAAAGGCUGUCAAUUACAUGUGAAUUACCCUGUAAAUAAAUCUAAUAUCUACAAAUUAGCAAGAGAUGAUUGUAGUAUGUUUAUCAUGUUGAGACCAGGUUAUAUCUGAUGAUAUCUACUUUAACCUUGCUUCCGUGGACACUUGCAUAAUUGUACCUGAGUCUGUUGCUAUAAUCAUAAAAAUGUUCAUGUUCUUAUUCCAGCAGUCUUAUUCAGACUGAAAUCAUUUUAUAGUAUAAAGUUGUAUAAAAGAAUUGAUUAGUAAUCACACUGACUGGAGUCAAAUUUGCCUUUUUUUAUAUGUGUAUGUAUAUAGAAUAAUAUAUGUAAAAGUUUUUUCAGAAAUAUUAUGUUGAACAGUUGUGCUUGCUUUAAUGUUUCAUUACUGAGGAUUGUUAUUAUCAAAUCGUUAAA